UACAGAGGGUGCGAGCGUUAAUCGGAGUUACUGGGCGUAAAGGGCGCGUAGGCGGCCGGACAAGUGAGGUGUGAAAUCCCUGGGCUCAACCUAGGAACUGCACCUUAGACUGUGUGGCUAGAGUACUGUAGAGGGCAGUGGAAUUUCCGGUGUAGCGGUGAAAUGCGUAGAGAUCGGAAGGAACACCAGUGGCGAAGGCGGCUGCCUGGACAGAUACUGACGCUGAGGCGCGAGAGCGUGGGGAGCAAACAGG
rnacentral:rRNA from 1 species